GACGAACGCUGGCGGUGUGCUUAACACAUGCAAGUCGAGCGGGAUCCAACCGGUGGCAACACCGGGGAAGAUCUAGCGGCGAACGGGUGAGUAACACGUGAGCAACCUGCCCCGAAGACUGGGAUAACACCGGGAAACCGGUGCUAAUACCGGAUGUCGUCAUUAGGCCGCAUGACCUGAUGAUGAAAGGAUUCAUCGCUUCGGGAGGGGCUCGCGGGCUAUCAGCUUGNGGUGGGGUAACGGCCUACCAAGGCGACGACGGCUAGCUGGUCUGAGAGGACGACCAGCCACACUGGGACUGAGACACGGCCCAGACUCCUACGGGAGGCAGCAGUGGGGAAUCUUGCGCAAUGGGCGAAAGCCUGACGCAGCAACGCCGCGUGGGGGA
rnacentral:rRNA from 1 species